rnacentral:rRNA from 1 species
AUUGAACGCUGGCGGCAGGCCUAACACAUGCAAGUCGAACGGUAACAGGAAGCAGCUUGCUGCUUUGCUGACGAGUGGCGGACGGGUGAGUAAUGUCUGGGAAACUGCCUGAUGGAGGGGGAUAACUACUGGAAACGGUAGCUAAUACCGCAUAACGUCGCAAGACCAAAGAGGGGGACCUUAGGGCCUCUUGCCAUCGGAUGUGCCCAGAUGGGAUUAGCUAGUAGGUGGGGUAACGGCUCACCUAGGCGACGAUCCCUAGCUGGUCUGAGAGGAUGACCAGCCACACUGGAACUGUGACACGGUCCAGACUCCUACGGGAGGCAGCAGUGGGGAAUAUUGCACAAUGGGCGCAAGCCUGAUGCAGCCAUGCCGCGUGUAUGAAGAAGGCCUUCGGGUUGUAAAGUACUUUCAGCGGGGAGGAAGGGAGUAAAGUUAAUACCUUUGCUCAUUGACGUUACCCGCAGAAGAAGCACCGGCUAACUCCGUG